ensembl:lncRNA
GCGGGGAACGCGCUGCCGCCUCGAGCUGCGCCCACCGCGUAACCAUCGACGGAAGGAAUCGCCCCUCCCGGCCGACGGGCAGCGGUCCCGGGCGGGGGGCGGGAGCUGCCGCUGUCGCGGGCGUUGUACGGGAGCGGGAGCCGCUGGCAGAGCUGAGGGUGACGGACUGCUGCGGGUCCGGCGGUCACUUUAAAAAGACCCUUCGGCGCCCCCAAAGAGCCGUCCCUCCUCCGCAGCUCGGCUGCGUCCCCCCGGUACCUGCGGGCACCCCCGGGCGGGGCUGUGCUCACAGCGGCGGUGAGAUGCGACUUCACCGGGCGAGGAGGUAUUUGUAACAUGAAUUCUGUUCUCCGGGAGCUGCGGGUACAUCCCAGAGGACUUCGCACGAGUCGCUCCGGGCGGCGGCCGCCCCUCGCACGGCCGAAGCUCUCAUUUCGAUCCGGUCGCGGGCUCGGAUACGGCGGAGGUGCCGACUCCCGACUGAUACGUCUGGGCGAAGCUCCGGACGGAAUUACUUUUCGCAUUCAUUUGUGCAGAACGGCUCCGUGCGGGCACAGCGAGCAGCGGGAGCGGCUGCGGCACCGGGUUAGGAGCGGCGCGGGGCUGCGGGGCUGCGGGGCUGCGGCGCUGUGCUGCGAGGCUCCCCCGGCGCCGUUCCUCCCCGCUGGAUUUAGCACCGCUUGAGAAGGCUGCGAAGCUUCGUCCGCCAGGAAGAGAAAAAAGAAAAGUCGUUUGUGCAUUUUGACUUUUAUUCCAAUGAACGCUGCCGACAGCAACGAGAGCCGGCCCUCCUGGAUCUCCAUGAAGCCCUACAACACCCCUUGCUUCGCACUCUCCCCCACCUCCGUGGAGCUCUGCCUGGCGGUUGCUGCCUGCAGAAAGCCCAGAGCCCAACAUCUGAAGGAUGUUUUAAAGCGUGGGGGGUUGCAUCAUGGCCAGAGCACGGCUAUUUGCAGCGUCACAAGAGCGGCUCCCAGGCUGCACCACGUCAGGUUUCUGCAUGCAGGAGGACAAACGCACAGCACUGUGAUGUACACCCGUCUGCCUUCCUGUACGAGCAAAUGGGUGCGCACACAGGGGUGGAAAUGGCAAGUACUACACUGAAGAAAGGCCUAUGCUUGGGCACAGAUUUGGGGCCCUGAAACAUUUUCCCAUCACCUGAAUGAACGCAAACUUGGACAGUGGCAAAAUCUGACUACAGGCCAGACCUAAAUAGGGCAUUUAGUUGUGCUGACCCUGAGCACAGCUCUAACUCUCACGUGCCUGAGAGGAACAUGGGAACUGCCAAUGGAUGUCCAAGGCUCAUCUGGCCCAUAGGGACCAGGUAGGUGCAGCAGGUCAGGCUGCAGUGUCACUGGCACCUCUUGUCAGCACCUCUUGUCCAUUGAGUCUUGGAGUUUUUCAUCUGAAGUUUUACAAAGGAUUUUUAUUUUUUAAGAAAACAAAAGGAACAUGUACAACAUCUCAUGUUAUCUCUGUUUGAAUCCCACGGGGCAGCAAAAGAUCUGGGCAUGGAUGACUUCCAGUGUCUUCUAAAGCACUACCCGGUGAGCCAGCAUAGCAGAGAGCAGCGUGGCUUACCUCUGUAAAUGGAGAAGUCUGAGUGUCUGCCCUCUGGAGAGGCCUUCUGACUACACCUCCAGGAUAGGAAGAUGCCAAGUACUGCUUAUGGUGUUCUACUUCAGCUACUGCUUGCCACCAAAAGAUCCUGUGUGUCUUCUUCUGAAAAGUAUCGUUUCAGUCCUUAGCAGAAGCAGGGCAUUAAAAUAGAAGAAUAGCUAACAUCAUGCAAUAUUGCUGUUAAAAUUAUUAAAAAUGGAGAAUAAAAUUUGCAUUACAAAAUGUUUAUUUUCUGCAGCUGCAGACAUCCAGCCACGAGAAGUAUUAUUUCUGAAGGAUUCAAGAUGUUGGAAGACACAGUUACAGGCAGCCUUCCUCCAGCAGCUUCAAAACUCUGUUCUAUUCGUUCUCCAAAUAAAAUAAAAUUAGAGGUAUUUUUAUUCAAUUGCUCGUUGUAUAUUCACCAUUUU